UACGUAGGGUGCGAGCGUUAAUCGGAAUUACUGGGCGUAAAGCGUGCGCAGGCGGUUCGCCAAGUCAGGUGUGAAAUCCCCGGGCUUAACCUGGGAAUUGCGCUUGAAACUAGCGGGCUUGAGUGUGGCAGAGGGGGGUGGAAUUCCACGUGUAGCAGUGAAAUGCGUAGAGAUGUGGAGGAACACCGGUGGCGAAGGCGGCCAUCUAGACGGAUACUGACGCUGAGACGCGAAAGCGUGGGGAGCAAACAGG
rnacentral:rRNA from 1 species